rnacentral:miRNA from 1 species
UAGUGCAAUAUUGCUAAUAGGGUUU